GGAAACAUACCAGAUUGUGGCAGUAGAUUUUGGAAAAUGCAGUCGACAGUGCGGUCUGGUUCGGUCAGCAUGAAGUGUUAUGAAGUGCCAGUUUGCCAACCUGAUCACUGGUUUUUGACAGCAGACCGUCUACUUCCUUGAUACCUGAACAACUCCUACAGUGAAGAGGCAUUUCCUGAACAAUGGAGCGACAUCCUCGAGACACAACAACAGAAGCUUUCUAAAGACAUGCAAACCAUGAGAUGGAAACUUGCUUUGUAAUUCCCUACCAGUGACUGGCAGUCCUGAAACAGGUGGUUAGCUUAAGUAUAUUCAAAAUGAGGUGUUAUUAUAAUAAUUUAGUCCUAUUAUCAUAAACACAGUUUCGAAGUUCCAUAGUGGG